rnacentral:rRNA from 1 species
UACACACCGCCCGUCGCACCUACCGAUUGAAUGAUUCGGUGAAAAUUCUGGACUGKGGCUCGGACGCCUUCGGGCGACCUUGCUGUGGGAAGUUAUUUAAACCUCAUCAUUUAGAGGAAGGUGAAGUCGUAACAAGGUUUCCGUAGGUGAACCUGCGGAAGGAUCAUUACCACACCCUCAAAUA